UACGUAGGGGGCAAGCGUUGUCCGGAAUCAUUGGGCGUAAAGCGCGCGUAGGCGGCCCGGUAAGUCCGCUGUAAAAGUCCAGGGCUCAACCCUGGAAAGCCAGGUGGAUACUGUCGGCUGAGAGUGCGGAAGAGGCGAGUGGAAUUCCUGGUGUAGCGGUGAAAUGCGUAGAUAUCAGGAGGAACACCAAUGGCGAAGGCAGCUCGCUGGGACGGUAACUGACGCUGGAGACGCGAAAGCGUGGGGAGCGAACG
rnacentral:rRNA from 1 species